CUACGGGAGGCUCCAGUAGGGAAUAUUGCACCAUGGGCGAAAGCCUGAUGCAGCAACGCCGCGUGAGCGAUGAAGGCCCUCGGGUCGUAAAGCUCUUUUCAAGGGGAAGAGGAAGGACGGUACCCUUGGAAUAAGUCUCGGCUAACUACGUGCCAGCAGCCGCGGUAAAACGUAGGAGGCGAGCGUUAUCCGGAUUUACUGGGCGUAAAGCGCGUGUAGGCGGUACAGCAAGUUGGAUGUGAAAGCUCCUGGCUUAACUGGGAGAGGUCGUUCAAAACUGCUGAACUAGAGUACGGUAGAGGAAAAUGGAAUUCCGGGUGUAGUGGUGAAAUGCGUAGAUAUCCGGAGGAACACCAGAGGCGAAAGCGAUUUUCUGGACCGAAACUGACGCUCAGACGCGAAAGCUAGGGUAGCAAACGGGAUUAGAUACCCUAGUAGUC
rnacentral:rRNA from 1 species